UUUUUUCAGAAAGCAGAAAGCCGCACCCCUUUCAGGAAACAUGAUACUUUUACUUUCAUUUUCUACGUUGCACUGCAAAAGGCAGAGAUUUUACAGUAUCUUCACAAGACAAAAAUAACUCAAAAACAAACAGAAAACCAUGGCAGACCGUCUGAAGGCUGCAAGGAAGGCAUUCGUGAGCUCAGUGAACAAAGCAGUGAUCGGCGAACUUGUGGACAUUUUGCUGGAUAAAACAGUGAUUAGUGAUUCUGAAAAAGAAUGGAUCAUAGAGUCUCAUACAGUCACAACAGAUAGAGCUCGUAGUUUCAUUGACAUCAUUAUUAAAAAAGGCGAUGGUGCAUCACAGAUUUUUAUAGAUGAAUUUGCAAAAGUGGAUCCUAUUGUUUCUCAAAAUCUGUUCUCGAUGAAGUGAUAUUUUUUUAUUUUUUCACACAAUCUUUAAGAUUAAAUACUGGGAUUUGCAUUUUUGGUCAAUAAAGAAAUGAAGAGAAGAAUUAUUAAAAAGGAACUCAAACCAAAAUCUAACAUUUACUAUUCUAA